CGCCCCACAGUUACCUGGCAACAACCAGCUGUGCCUGACUCACUAUAAAAGGGGCUGCUUGCCCCCUCCUCAUUAUCUCCUCAUCCUCUUCUCUUCUCCUGUCCUCUUGCUCUUGCCCUCUUCCCCUUUUCCCCUCUUCCCCUUUGUCCCUUCUCUCCCCAUUCCCCUCCCUCCUUUCCCCCACGUUCUCAUGGCCGACCAUUAUUUCUCUCCUCUUCUACUCUUCUUCUCUCAUUAAACCUUUGCACUCGGAACCAUGUUGGCCCAUCGUGCUGAGAUUUCUAUCCCAACAAUAUGGGUAUUUUUGAAAUGAUCAUGUAUCCUUGAGUCACAUGAAGAAUGAUAUAUCAUGCUCAAACAGAAUAAAGAUAGCCAUCUCAAUCUUACUGCAAGAGUAUCUGCAGCUGAAGCCAGCUUCCUGGAUGAAGGGUGAGGCUCCCUGACCUCUCAGAUAACUGUGGCUGCUGCUACACCUGACUGGACUGAUACAGCAAGAAUUUGAAGAGCAAUUCAGACGUGGAGUUUAUUGGAACUAGAAUCUCCAGGCCAGUCUUGGAUUCCGGAAUGAACAAAAGCCUUACUGCCUUGAAGAAGGACCCUUCAACCUGAGCGUCGGUGCUGAGCCCCACUGUCGAAUGCCAUCACUCCAUCCAGAGUUCUGGUUGACCUCAGAACGGAGUUCAGCUCCUGUUCUCCACUACUGAGAAAGACUCUGAUUUGUCAGAUUCCUGAAGCACUGGGUGACUUCUGUCUCUAUCCAUGCAAAACCCAAUUCAAGGCCUCAGAUAUGCUAUCUGUGUUUAAGGGAAUGGUAUUCCUUGGUUGAUGGAGUAUAGGUAAUAAUAGUGUCUCUCUCUCUCUCUCUCUCUCCUCAUUCUUCCUCCCCCACUGUGUAUGAGGGGGCACACACAGAUACCCUCAAAAACAAGAAAAGGUGUCAGAUCCCCUGGAGCAGGAGUUACAGCCAGUUUGUGAGCUGGCUUAUGUGUGCUGGGAAUUGAGUGUGAAUCUUCUCCAAGAGGAGCCAAUGCUCUUAACUGCUAAGCCAUCUCUCCAAUCCUCUAGUUCUUUAAUUUUUUUUUUCUUUUUUUCGGAGCUGGGGCCCAAACCCAGGGCCUUGCGCUUGCUAGGCAAGCGCUCUACCACUGAGCCAAAUCCCCAACCCCUAGUUCUUUAAUUUUUAAAUACACAUUAUUUCUUUAUAAAGAA